rnacentral:rRNA from 1 species
UGGGGAAUUUUGGACAAUGGGGGAAACCCUGAUCCAGCCAUCCCGCGUGUGCGAUGAAGGCCUUCGGGUUGUAAAGCACUUUUGGCAGGAAAGAAACGUCAUGGGUUAAUACCCCGUGAAACUGACGGUACCUGCAGAAUAAGCACCGGCUAACUACGUGCCAGCAGCCGCGGUAAUACGUAGGGUGCAAGCGUUAAUCGGAAUUACUGGGCGUAAAGCGUGCGCAGGCGGUUCGGGAAGAAAGAUGUGAAAUCCCAGAGCUCAACUUUGGAACUGCAUUUUUAACUACCGGGCUAGAGUGUGUCAGAUGGAGGUGGAAUUCCGCGUGUAGCAGUGAAAUGCGUAGAUAUGCGGAGGAACACCGAUGGCGAAGGCAGCCUCCUGGGAUAACACUGACGCUCAUGCACGAAAGCGUGGGGAGCAAACAGG